UUUCGUCUAAAACUACUCUCUUCAAUUGUUGUAGUCGGAAUUAUGGCUAAUUGAGACGUAAUUCCAAAUUAAGUCUUCUCUUACCGUUCCAACCGCAGCAAUUAAAUUCAAAUACAUCAAAACUAAUUAAACAACAAAUUUAGAUUUGAAUAUAAUUAUAACUGUGUGCAACCAAACAGUCGCUAACAGUUGAGGAGUCUCCAUACAUUUUUACCAAAUUUAUAUCCGGCACCCCUAAAAAGUUCUGAACUUUCUCAUUUACCUCUCUCAGAAAGUUAACAUUAAAAAUUAAUUUUUUACAUUUCAAGUUAUUUCAAAUAUAAUAAACUGUUAGGUUAUCCCUUUUGAAUAUACUUUUCUAUCAUCAUCAACUUUUUUAUUUGCCUUUAAAUUAGGGAUAAAAAAAAAUAUUUUUAUUUUUAAUCUUUUAAAAUAUAUUCAUAUAUCAUCACCGGCUUUGCUUAUUUGCCCUGAAAUUAGUGGCAAAAAAAAUAUUUUAAUUUUUUUAACUCCGAUAAAUAUUUAACUCAUGUCUAAUUCGAGAUAACUUAACGAAUGAUAACUACAAGAUAUUUUUAAGUAACAGAGAAAAAACAUAUAAAGAGAAUAUUAGAAAUAAAAAAAAUAAAUUAAAUAUUU
rnacentral:lncRNA from 1 species